rnacentral:lncRNA from 1 species
CUUUCUGAAGUGCAAUCGGAAGAGACAAGUCCGCAGUAGGAGCAGGGUGUGGUGCAGGACGUGAAUCAACCGGGCCGGAUGCUGGGUGAGGACGACGAUGAUAUGUCAAGAGUGGAGUGUCUUGUGCAGGGAGUCUAUGAGGAGCCACAGUAGACGUUCCAACGUUUGGAAUGGGUAAGACUUCUGUAGCGAAAGGUGAAGGAGGAGAUAUAGUAGACUCCCUAAAGUCCGGUAUAGGUAAAACCUCAGAUAUAUCAAGACGGUCAGAAUGGUCAAGCAGGGAGUCUAGUAGGAGCCACACUAGACUCUCCAACAGUUGGAAUGGGUAAGAUUUCUGUUGCGGAAGGUGUAGGAGGAGCUAUAGUAGAAUCCGUAAAGCCGGUACAGGUAAAACCUCAGAUAUAUCAAGAUGGUCAGAAUGGUCAGAAGAGGUAAAGAAAGGCUUAGANNNN